rnacentral:rRNA from 1 species
UAAGUGAAGAGUUUGAUCCUGGCUCAGAGUGAACGCUGGCGGUAGGCCUAACACAUGCAAGUCGAACGGCAGCACAGGAGAGCUUGCUCUCUGGGUGGCGAGUGGCGGACGGGUGAGGAAUACAUCGGAA